GGCGGCGUGCUUAACACAUGCAAGUCGAGCGGAAAGGCCCUUCGGGGGUACUCGAGCGGCGAACGGGUGAGUAACACGUGAGUAACCUGCCCCUGACUCUGGGAUAAGCCUGGGAAACUGGGUCUAAUACCGGAUAUGACCGCCUCCUGCAUGGGGUGGUGGUGGAAAGUUUUUUCGGUUGGGGAUGGGCUCGCGGCCUAUCAGCUUGUUGGUGGGGUAGUGGCCUACCAAGGCGACGACGGGUAGCCGGCCUGAGAGGGCGACCGGCCACACUGGGACUGAGACACGGCCCAGACUCCUACGGGAGGCAGCAGUGGGGAAUAUUGCGCAAUGGGCGGAAGCCUGAGCCAGCGACGCCGCGUGGGGGAUGACGGCCUUCGGGUUGUAAACCUCUUUCAGCAGGGACGAAGUUGACGUGUACCUGCAGAAGAAGCGCCGGCUAACUACGUGCCAGCAGCCGCGGUAAUACGUAGGGCGCAAGCGUUGUCCGGAAUUAUUGGGCGUAAAGAGCUCGUAGGUGGCUGGUCGCGUCUGCCGUGAAAGCCCGCAGCUUAACUGCGGGUCUGCGGUGGAUACGGGCCGGCUAGAGGUAGGUAGGGGCAAGUGGAAUUCCUGGUGUAGCGGUGAAAUGCGCAGAUAUCAGGAGGAACACCGGUGGCGAAGGCGGCUUGCUGGGCCUUACCUGACGCUGAGGAGCGAAAGCGUGGGGAGCGAACAGGAUUAGAUACCCUGGUAGUCCACGCUGUAAACGUUGGGCGCUAGGUGUGGGGAUCUUCCACGAGUUCCGUGCCGGAGCUAACGCAUUAAGCGCCCCGCCUGGGGAGUACGGCCGC
rnacentral:rRNA from 1 species